CCUUGUGAGUUUUGAAAGAUCAGGAAAGCAAGCCAUUGGAAGGUCUAGAAGUGAAGUCACUGCUGGGGUUUGCAGCCAACUAGUCCAGUUUUAAGACCCCGAGGAACAACGGGCAACCUUCAGGACUCAGGUCAUUAGAAGAUGAGAGAGGAAUUCAUUUAGCAUCAAUAGAUUGUUCCAGCUGGAAGGCACCUCAGAGAUCAUCUUGUGUCACCCCCUCAUUUUUACAUAUGAGGAAACUGAGAUGCAGAGGGUUGAAUAACUUGCUCACAUUUACACAGACUUUGAUGACUCUGGAGGAGAGAACGUUGAGCC